UUGUCUCAAAGAUUAAGCCAUGCAUGUCUCAGUACAAGCCAAAUUAAGGUGAAACCGCGAAAGGCUCAUUAAAUCAGUUAUGGUUCCUUAGAUCGUACCCACAUUUACUUGGAUAACUGUGGUAAUUCUAGAGCUAAUACAUGCAAACAGAGUCCCGACCGGAGACGGAAGGGACGCUUUUAUUAGAUCAAAACCAAUCGGUGACGGGUUUCGGCUCGUCAUCGUACAACUUGGUGACUCUGAAUAACUUUAUGCUGAUCGCACGGUCUCGCACCGGCGACGCAUCUUUCAAAUGUCUGCCUUAUCAACUGUCGAUGGUAGGUUCUGCGCCUACCAUGGUUGUAACGGGUAACGGGGAAUCAGGGUUCGAUUCCGGAGAGGGAGCCUGAGAAACGGCUACCACAUCCAAGGAAGGCAGCAGGCGCGCAAAUUACCCACUCCCGGCACGGGGAGGUAGUGACGAAAAAUAACGAUACGGGACUCAUCCGAGGCCCCGUAAUCGGAAUGAGUACACUCUAAAUCCUUUAACGAGGAUCAAUUGGAGGGCAAGUCUGGUGCCAGCAGCCGCGGUAAUUCCAGCUCCAAUAGCGUAUAUUAAAGUUGUUGCGGUUAAAAAGCUCGUAGUCGAAAUUGUGUCCCACGCCGCCGGUUCAUCGCUCGCGGUGUUAACUGGCGUGUCGCGGGACGUCCUGCCGGUGGGCUUAGCUCGCAAGGGCGGCCCAACUCAAUCCCGCCGCGGUGCUCUUCAUUGAGUGUCGAGGUGGGCCGGCACGUUUACUUUGAACAAAUUAGAGUGCUUAAAGCAGGCUAAAAUUUUGCCUGAAUAUUCUGUGCAUGGAAUAAUGAAAUAGGACCUCGGUUCUAUUUUGUUGGUUUUCGGAACCCCGAGGUAAUGAUUAAUAGGAACUGAUGGGGNCANNCGUAUNGCGNCGUUAGAGGUGAAAUUCUUGGACCGUCGCAAGACGGACAGAAGCGAAAGCAUUUGCCAAAAAUGUUUUCAUUGAUCAAGAACGAAAGUUAGAGGAUCGAAGGCGAUCAGAUACCGCCCUAGUUCUAACCAUAAACGAUGCCAGCUAGCGAUCCGCCGACGUUCCUCCGAUGACUCGGCGGGCAGCUUCCGGGAAACCAAAGCUUUUGGGUUCCGGGGGAAGUAUGGUUGCAAAGCUGAAACUUAAAGGAAUUGACGGAAGGGCACCACCAGGAGUGGAGCCUGCGGCUUAAUUUGACUCAACACGGGAAAUCUCACCAGGCCCGGACACCGGAAGGAUUGACAGAUUGAGAGCUCUUUCUUGAUUCGGUGGGUUGUGGUGCAUGGCCG
rnacentral:rRNA from 1 species